rnacentral:misc_RNA from 1 species
GAUGAAAAACGUAGCGAAAUGCGAUAAGUAAUGUGAAUUGCAGAAUUCAGUGAAUCAUCGAAUCUUUGAACGCACAUUGCGCCCGCCAGUAUUCUGGCGGGCAUGCCUGUCUGAGCGUCAUUUCAACCCUCAUGCCCCUAGGGCGUGGUGUUGGGGAUCGGCCAAAGCCCGCGAGGGACGGCCGGCCCCUAAAUCUAGUGGCGGACCCGUCGUGGCCUCCUCUGCGAAGUAGUGAUAUUCCGCAUCGGAGAGCGAUGAGCCCCUGCCGUUAAACCCCCAACUUUCCAAGGUUGACCUCAGAUCAGGUAGGAAUACCCGCUGAACUUAAGCAUAUCAAUAAGCGGAGGA